AUCUUUUAUGUAUAACAUACACUCGUAUGCUUUUCUAUAUAUAUAUAUAUAUAUUUUUUUUUUCUUUUUCUUUUCCUUUCUGCUUUGGUUUGACGCACAGAGAAAUCAAAAGGGACUGUUAGAAUUUGGUCUGUGUGUUCAUGCUCCGUUUGGUUAUGCCGAGAAAUGAACAGAGAAGAUGAGCUUCGUGUACAAGCACCGUCUAUGAGUAAUGGCUCUAGCAAGAGAUCUAAGAUUUCCAAAAAGGUUCACGGAGGCUCAAGCGGUAUUGGUACAUUUUCAAUUCAGAGAGCUAAAUACCAAGGAGGAAGAGUGUUUGUCACAGCAGGGAGUGAGGAAAAAUUAGCUUUUUGCAAGAAACUUGGAGCUGAUGUGUGCAUCAAUUACAAGACACAGGAUUUUGUUAAACGGGUAGACAAGGCGUUGAUGUUAUUCUGGAUCCAAUGUGAGUAGAAACAUUGAGAGCUUAAAUGUUGAUGGGAGGCUUUUUAUUAUUGGCGCUAUGGGUGGUUCAGAUGCAAAAAUCGAUCUCCAUGUUCUUCUUGCAAGGUGCCUCACAGUGCAAUAAGCCAUAUAAACCCAGCUGUAUAAUAAAAGAUGCUAGCGGCUGGGUUGCGACACAGAAGUGCGGAAAACAAAGCUGUGAUUGUUAAUCAAGUUGAGAAGAUUGUUUGGCCUGCAAUUGUGGUGGACAAGGUGAAGCCAGUGGUGCGCGGACAAGUCUUUUCCAUUUUCUGAAGCAGCGAAGGCUCACUGGCUCAUGGAAAGUAACGAUCAUAUUGGAAAGAUACUGCUUCUUCCAUGAUGCUGUGGAUGAUCUGUGACUUGAGUGGAUGAUUUUAUUUUAGCCCUGGUGUGCUUAACUCUGCAAAGCUUGGAGCAUUUAUCAAAGUCAUUAAAUGCGGUACAACAAAACUCGUAGUAAGAAGCACCUUUGAUGAGGAAAUCUAUUCAACAAAACUUGAGAGAGGUCCUAAUAUGGAUGAGUUAGAAAAGAAAGCUUUAAGAAUAGCUAGAGAAAUUGAGGGUGAAGAAACCCAAGAUCUUCAUUUAGCAGAGGAGAGAGGCAUUUGUAUCCAUGAAGAUUUUGAUGUUGAUGAGGAGACUAGAUUCUCUUCUGUCAACAGGGGUAAGGGGGUUGAAGAUAGUGGGUAUGAAGAACGUGAAGAUGUAUUGUUGGAUUCAUGUAAUAUGGAAACCUUUGGUGGUUCUGAUUCUGUCACUAAGAGGUCCACUGAUUUGACCAUUGGGAAAAACAACGAUGGAGCUCAAACUUCGUCAAGCUCUUCCUAUAGUUCCUAAUUACUCAUGGUAGUUCCUAUAAGGUAGUGCCUACUGACUCCAAGCUUUGUGACUCUAUUAUUGGGAACGGACAUUUUUGUCAAAUAAUCUAGCUAUUAAACCUAUUCUAUAAUAUAAUAUGUGUGUGAUAUUAAAA